CCAGACUCCUACGGGAGGCAGCAGUGGGGAAUAUUGCACAAUGGGCGAAAGCCUGAUGCAGCAACGCCGCGUGAAGGAAGAAGGGUUUCGGCUCGUAAACUUCUAUCAACAGGGACGAAAGAAAUGACGGUACCUGAAUAAGAAGCCCCGGCUAACUACGUGCCAGCAGCCGCGGUAAUACGUAGGGGGCAAGCGUUAUCCGGAUUUACUGGGUGUAAAGGGGGCGCAGACGGCGAUGCAAGCCAGGAGUGAAAGCCCGGGGCCCAACCCCGGGACUGCUCUUGGAACUGCAUGGCUGGAGUACAGGAGGGGCAGGCGGAAUUCCUAGUGUAGCGGUGAAAUGCGUAGAUAUUAGGAGGAACACCGGUGGCGAAGGCGGCCUACUGGACUGUGACUGACGUUGAGGCCCGAAGGCGUGGGGAGCAAACAGGAUUAGAUACCCCAGUAA
rnacentral:rRNA from 1 species